GAUCCCUGCCUACUGGAGGCCUUCCAAAGGUAAAUGAGACCCAGUUGGAUCCUACAUGCCUAAAUAGUAGCUUAUCACCACAGAGAGAUGAAUAAAGAUAGAUAUGAGAAAUCUGCCCUCAUGAAAGUCUGCUUGCUCUACUGAGAGAGAAAGAAGCUAUUUUAAGAACAUGCACUUUUGACUUCUUCAAGAUGGGCAUCAAGUUCUGCUAUCUCUCACUAGCAAAAUAAGACAUUUUCUUGCAGUAUUUUGGAGAUCUUUGUCCUUGUUCUGUUCCUCUAAAAUAAGUUGAAAUAGGCUACCACCCUCUUCCCCUGUCAUUAGUCCUUUUUGGGAUUUCCUUGUCAUGGCUUAAAAUA
ensembl:lncRNA